ensembl:snoRNA LOC120100369 small nucleolar RNA SNORA41
UUUCACAACUACUGGUCUGCAGCUGUCCUUCUGGUAACAGUUGUAGCGUUCCUCUGUGGGAAAGAAACUGUUACACCAUUACACCAUUUAAUGCCUCUUUCUUAGCCACACAGAAAGAAGGAAUAAGCCUGACAGACACAA